UUUUUAUUUUCUUUUGGUUUUCUUUCCUUCAUUGCCUCUAUCGACUCCAUCGCCGCCUCUGCCGCCAACCCUCCAUCUCUACUACCAGGUGAGACAGGUUUGCUCCAGCCGCUAGACACCGACCCUCACUACUACUAGGACUACCCCAGCCGCUAGACUCCUCUCGCAGCCGCUGCUGUCGUCAUCCUUUGUCACUGCUGCUGCCGUCCUUCGUCGAUGCUGUCAUCGUCAUUCGUCGCUGCUACCAGGUGAGACCCGGCACCAGACACAAACCCUCGCCAUGACUACGACUGCCCCAGCCAACAAACACCCCUCAUCGCAAACUAGGUUUUCCUCUCAAACACCAUUGUUCAUCGCUAUUGUCGCCGUCCUAAUUCAUCGAGAGCAACCAACAUACUAGGUUUUCCCCACACUGUCGUUGCUGCCCAACUCUUCAUCCCUGUGAGAUCCGGCAAAUUAACUUCCCAUACCAAUUUCAAUUUCUAUAUGAAGUAAUUUCUCAAAAGUUCUAGAUUUAAUUUUAAUAGUCUAUAGUUUAAAUUUUUAUAAAAUAGGUCUCUAAGUUAUUUCAAUCACUUAAUCCAAUGUUUCACAGAAGACCCGACAAUCAACUUCCCAUGAUUGAUUGAUAUCAUUUUAGUUAUAAACAUUUUGCAAUUGUUAGCAUAUUUGAUUUGUUUCUCUGAUGUUAAAUGUAUACAUACACUAGAAUCUUUCACAAUUCAUUGUUGUUUUCUCUUCUAUUUAUUUAUGUUUUCAAUGCCUCUAACAGUAUAGUACGAUAGAUUGUAGGAGCAGAUUUUCUUUUGAAGCGUAUUGCAUUGACGGGUUGAAAGCUAAUAAUAAUAGCAUUGAUAAGGUUGUAUUACAUCCCAAGACUCUAGUGCAGAUCAAUUAUAAAUAAUCAUCAUAACAGCGAUGAUGACACAUAUGAAGGAGAAUUGGCAGAUAUAGAUGGUUCUAAUAAUAUACGCUAGGAUGAAUAAAUGUUUAAAAAACAACCAAGAUUAGUAUACAACAAAUCACACUGUAAGUAAUUUAUCCUACAAGCCAUACCUUAUGCUUGUUAAAUGGUCUAGUUGCUUAUGCUUAACAUUUGAGGUGCUUUUAUUUUGUACUAAGAAAGUGCUUGGAUUAUUACAUUUUUCAAAAUUACUUCACCUUGUGCUUUUCUACCCUAUCAUAUGAAGUUUCCAAGUAUCCCAACCCUUGUACUUGCUUAUAUAACACGAUUUCUUUUAUAAAACUAGUGUUUUAUGUUUCUUCCUAACUGUUUUUUUUUUCAUUUCACAAGAAUCAGGAUUUGCAUUUGGGUUGAAGAUUUACACGUGAAAUCUUUGAUUUUUUUUUCCCUCUUUGGAUUAAGCACCAACUUCACUUUCAGUUGUAAUAUGGAAUUCCUUUGCGAACAUGUUUGGUGCCUAGAUUUAUCACUCAAACAUACUCAAAAGCUAUUCAUGAAUGCUCAGGUUUACAUUUUUGGAUUAAAUAUUUUCUUCCAUGAAUGAUGCAUCAUGCUCUUUCAUGUAUCUUUUGUUGAAGUUUUAGAUGGCUUGUCAUGCAUCGAAAUUAUAUUUGCAUAAUUUAAAAAUUAAAGUAUUGUUUUAGAGUUCGGUGAGUGUGUGAUUCGAAUUUAUUCAAUAGAUAAAUAUAAAUAAUGUUUGCAUAUUUAAAUCAAAUUUAAGCGAACAACAAUAAAAGAAAUUAUUUGAAUGACUCAUUGAUAUAAUUUUAUAUGAACAUACGCUUGAUAUAAUUUUUUUAUCAAGAAAUCAUGUGGCAUGCUUCGGUGUCACCGAUUAGGCCUUCAAUUGCAUGGUUUUGUUGACAAGUUAGAUUUUGAUAGACAUCUAAAGAUUGUGGCAUCACUUAUUGAUAUGUAUGUAAAGUGUGGAAUAGUGCCUCGCAGGUGUUUGGUAUUUCUGUUGUCAGAAAUGUUGUUCUGUA